rnacentral:lncRNA from 1 species
UUCAACGGGUCCUGAACCUCCAUGAGGCCCAGUUCACUGGGCCCCCGUUAUCACAAGUCCAGGGUACCAGUUGUUCUGCCAAUUCCUGUAUUCAUCCAGUCAACAGAUAAUUCCACAGUACAGAGCAAAGUGGAGAAAAACUGCAUCGUGGCAUCUUCCCAGGAGACAAGACGGAGAACAAACAAUGCGCAACCAAGCAAAGGUCGUUUUGCGUGAUAGCAAGGGCCGUGCAGGAAACAAACAGGAUGUGGGUUUUCCUGAAACAAACUCUCAUCAUCUGAGAGAACCUGCAUGCACCUCUGCUCCCUGCACCCCAGAGGGAACCAGCAGUGUGCCCUGGGAAAAGCUGGGGCCCCACAGGUCCCAGUCUCUGAACAGGGUCUCGUAUAAAGAAGCACCGUCCAGCAACUAUUGCAGCAUUCACUGGCAUCUCGAAGACAGUAUCAACGAGUAUCUACAUCACAACCCGUAACCUCGCUCCUCAAGUUCCCUGUCCUCCCCUCCCAACCCCUGUACCCACAGCUGAUCGUGAGCCUCACACCCACCCACCUCCAGCAGUGCCAGAUUCACUCCUUACUUCCCCACUCUCUUCAUAUGGAGAGUGACAGCUUCCCUAGGUCGUAGAAGAAAACAACAUGGACCACUUGCCAGCGUCUCUUUGAACAGAGAAGCUACUGCUGUCUAAGAGCCACCAUCCCCAAUCCCAGGCACAGGGCUUGAGGGAAACUUAUUUUCUGCCCCCACCUUCCUUAAAGGUGGAACUCAUGACUGAGACCUGAGCCUAUCAGCCGGUCACGUGAUCCUGGCCCAGGGCUAUUGGCUGUGGGAAGUGGAUGCUGCCCGCCCUGUUGUCCUGUGGGAGCUUGAGGGGAUGUACAUCUGGCAUUGCUGGCAGGCAUUUUGUUCCCAUGAGGGAAGAGUCUGGGAGAGAAGCAACCUGGUGGAGAGUGGGCCUAAGACACGGAGAGAGGAUGUUGAUGCCGUGAGUUCCCAAUCCCGCCGCGCCCGUCAGACUUACCCUCAGC